rnacentral:rRNA from 1 species
UACGGGGGGGGCAAGCGUUGUUCGGAAUUACUGGGCGUAAAGGGCGCGUAGGCGGUCCGCUAAGUUGAAUGUGAAAACUCUGGGCUUAACCCAGAGCCUGCAUUCAAUACUGGCAGGCUAGAGUUUUGGAGGGGAUAGCGGAAUUCCUGGUGUAGCGGUGAAAUGCGUAGAUAUCAGGAGGAACACCGGUGGCGAAGGCGGCUAUCUGGACAGAGUCUGACGCUGAGGCGCGAAAGCUAGGGGAGCAAACAGG